rnacentral:rRNA from 1 species
AUUGAACGCUGGCGGCAGGCCUAACACAUGCCAGUCGAACGAGUUGCGGACGGGUGAGUAAUGUCUGUGAACCUGCCUGAUGGCGGGUGAUAACUUCUCGAAACGGUAGCUAAUACCGCAUCCCAUCGGAUGUGCCCAUAUGGGAUUAGCUAGUUGGUGGGGUAAAGGCUCACCUAGGCGACGAUCCCUAGCUGGUCUGAGAGUAUGACCAGCCACACUGGAACUGAGACACGGUCCAGACUCCUACGGGAGGCAGCAGGGGGGAAGAUUGGACAAUGGGCGAAAGCCUGAUGCAGCCAGGCCGCGGGUAUGAAGAAGGCCUUCGGGGUGUAAAGUACUUUGGGCGGGGAGGCGUUACCCGCAGAAGAAGCACCGGCUAACUCCGUGCCAGCAGCCGCGGUAAUAC